UAUAACGACUCUCGGCAACGGAUAUCUCGGCUCUCGCAUCGAUGAAGAACGUAGCGAAAUGCGAUACUUGGUGUGAAUUGCAGAAUCCCGUGAACCAUCGAGUCUUUGAACGCAAGUUGCGCCCGAAGCCAUCUGGCCGAGGGCACGUCUGCCUGGGCGUCACGCGUCUCUUCGCCCC
rnacentral:rRNA from 1 species